GGGGACCUUGGGGUGCAGGAGGGGACCCAGGGGUCCUGGGGGGGGACCCCGUUACCUGUGGAGGGCCCCCCGGGUGUGCGUGUGGUGAGGGGUGUCUGUGUCCCCCCCAGCACGAGCUGUACAUCCGGGCCUUCCAGAAGCUCAGCGAGUUCCCGCCUGUGAGUGUCACCCUGUCCCCCUGUCACCCUGUCCCCCUGUCACCCUGUCCCCGUGUCACCCCUGUCACCCUGUCACCCUCACCCCUGUCCCCAUGUCACCCUGUGUCCCCUUCACCCCUGUCCUUGUGUCACCCGUGUCUCCGUGUCACCCUCACCCCUGUCACCCCUGUCCUUGUGUCACCCUGUCCCUCUGUCACCCUCACCCUUGUCCUGGUGUCACCCUCACCCCUUCCCUGUGUCACCCUGUCCCUGUGUCACCCUCACCCCUGUCACCCCUGUCCCUGUGUCACCCUGCCCUUGUGUCACCCUCACCCCUGUCACCCCUGUCCCUGUGUCACCCUGCCCUUGUGUCACCCUCACCCCUGUCACCCCUGUCCCUGUGUCACCCUGCCCUUGUGUCACUCUCACCCCUGUCACCCCUGUCCCUGUGUCACCCUGCCCUUGUGUCACCCUCACCCCUGUCACCCCUGUCCCUGUGUCACCCUGCCCUUGUGUCACCCUCACCCCUGUCACCCCUGUCCCUGUGUCACCUUGCCCUUCUGUCACCCUCACCCCUGUCCUUGUGUCACCCGGUCCCUGUGUCACCCUCAUCACCCCCGUCCCCGUGUCACCCUGUCCUUCUGUCACCCUCACCCUUGUCCUGGUGUCACCCUCACUGCUGCCCUUGUGUCACCCUCACCCUUGUCACCCCUGUCCCCAUGUCACCCUACCCUUGUGUCACGCUCCCCCUUGUCACCCUUGUCCUCUUGUCACCCUUGUCCUGGUGUCACCCUCACCCUUGUCACCCCCAUCCCCAUGUCACCCCAUGUUACCCUGUCCUUGUGUCACCCUCACCCCUGUCCUUGUGUCACUUGGUCCCCGUGUCACCCUUGUCCUGGUGUCACCCUCACCCUUGUCCCCCCCUGUCCCCGUGUCACCCUGCCCUCGUGUCACCCCCAUCCCCACGUCACCCCGUGUCACCCCUGUCCCCUUGUCACCUGGUCCUUAUGUCACCC
rnacentral:lncRNA from 1 species